rnacentral:rRNA from 1 species
UACGUAGGGGGCGAGCGUUGUCCGGAUUCAUUGGGCGUAAAGCGCGCGUAGGCGGCCCCGCAAGUCGGCCGUGAAAUCUCCGGGCUCAACUCGGAGGGGUCGGGCGAGACUGCGGGGCUCGAGGUGGGCAGAGGGCAGUGGAAUUCCGGGUGUAGUGGUGGAAUGCGUAGAGAUCCGGAGGAACACCAGUGGCGAAGGCGGCUGCCUGGGCCUGGCCUGACGCUGAGGCGCGAAAGCGUGGGGAGCGAUCCGG